rnacentral:lncRNA from 1 species
GUGGUCAUACCUAGCCUAUGGAGUGAGGCUGGCAUACCCCUAGCCACUUACAGAGGUUAACAAGCAAGAGCAAACUUGUAAACAAGUCAGACUAGGGCCUGUAUGGUGAUUAGGACACCAACAGGCCUUCGUCAAGGCUCAAACACAUAAUAUGGGGGUAGGAAUGGGAUUAAUUAGAGUAUAGGCUAUUAAAAACCUUAGUUCUAAACAAGGAGUGGCAAUGAGAUGCCACCCUAAUCCAGAACACACUCAUAUUCAAACAUGGAUCAGGGAAGGGGGAGAAUGGGAUUAAUUUGAGCAUAGGCUGUUAACAGCCAUAGUUCUAAACUAGGAGUGGCAAUGAGAUGCCACCCUAAUUGGGAACACACUCACAUUCAAACUGGGAUCAGGGAAAGGGAAAUCACAUAAGCAUACUUGAGAGAACAAGACUAAUUUAAUUGGAUUCAGGGGAAAGGGGUGUAUAGGAACUUAAAACACAAUAUUGAUCAAUAAACAGACAAGAUAAGGGACUGAGCAUGCUGGACUGAAAACUGAAAAAUAAACAGAUAAGGGAAAAGGGAGAAUUAAACAUGCUGCAAUUGAAAUGCACAAAAACAGACAAAGGAAAUAGGGAAGGGGAUAUAACCUGCAGAAUACAAACAUAACAGACAAGGGAAAUGGGAAGGGGAUUAAACAUGCUAAAGCUUAAAUUGAAAUACAUAAACAGACAAAGGAAAUGGGGGAAGAUGAUUGAACCUGCUGAAUUCAAACGUAAUAGACAAGGGAAAGGGGAAGGGGAUUAAACAUGCUAACGCUCAAAUUGAAAUAUAUAAACUGACUAGGGGAAUGGAAAGUGGUUAAACAUACUGAACUUAAACUGAAAGCAUAAACAGA